GUUUUAACAUGUGUAAGGUACAUCUUACAAAAUAAAUAAAUAAUAAUUGUGGUAUCAAGUGUAAACCGAUAUUUGGAAGCGUUCAGAAACAAGACCUUAGCUGUUUAUAAUUAUAUUCUAUAAGACUAAGUUAAGUGAUAAGUGGCUAGGCCUAACCACAUUAAAAUGUCGAGUUGCUAGUUCCACAGCGGUGCUCACUGAGUAGCCUCCACUUGAAGCGAACUAUCCAUGGCAAGAAUAGCAGACGACCCAAUGUCCGGCUUACGAGAUCAUAUGCUUCACGACUAAUUUUUUGUAAGCUACAAAAUAGGAAAGAAAGUCUGUUUUAUGGCAUUGACAAAUGAAAAAAGAAAAUAAAGAUUUUGACCAUCCUUACAACAAGUGUUACCAUAUUGAAGCCAUGGAAAACAUUGCAUCUCAGUUUACAGAUGUCAACUUGGAAAAUGAAUUAAAUAGACGCAUCGAAGAAAUAAAUGGCAAAUCUGUUGAACACUCUUAUGAGAAACAGGGCCCAAAGGUUGUGAUAUACCCGAUUGAAGGUCACAACCAUGCUGUUGUUGUACAUUGUGAUAAUUCCUACAGCAUUGUGAAAAUUGAUUUUAAGGGCCCAAAACCUGUUCUGAAAUGUUCUACAUGCUGUAAAAAAAGGAGUGCGAGUCAAGCUGCAUUCACAUUGAUUCCACCCUACAUCAAGACCUUGCUGUGUCUGAUGUCACACAGACGCUGCUACAGCAACUUAAUAUAAAGCCUAAGUGGCGUUCUCGCUAUAUCCCUAUGGCAGUGUCAUCAACAAAAAUACCAUUCUCUCCAGCUCCAGAAGAGCAGAAAAAAAAGAAAAGAUUUUAGAGACCUGGUACAUGAAGAUGGAUCCAUUCAUCUUAUACCUGACUCUGAUGGCCAUUGUGUAUGUGGCGGGGACUGGCUUGAAUAAACUGAGCUAGAAUGUACGAGAAUCAUAAGUGCUACGGAUAUGUUGCAUGCUAAAGCUCAUAAGCUGGUAAUAUAUGACAAUGCUUGUAACGUGCACAAAUAUUGUCUGAACCGUGAUUCUGUCUUCUUCCGAGAUUCCUGGUUUGUGGUUGAUAGGUUUCACUGGGUAAAUCAUGUAGGCUGUCACAAGGGUUACAAUUUGUCAGCAUAUGUCCAACACAACAAGGUCAACUCACAGGUGGCAGAACAAAGGAAUGCCACGCUGAAAAAACUAAAAUCUAUGCUUUCUUACAUGAAUUUGGAAAAUUUCAACAACCAUCUUAAGCUGUACCUGUGGUUUAGGAGUAUGUUGUCAGCAUGGAAAAUGGACAAUGAACUGCCAUCAAAAUAUGCAAUGUUAUUUGCAAGCCUUGUGCCAAUAUAUUCAAAAUUGCAUUAAACACAUUAUUGUGCAAUUUGAGCAGACAGUAUUCAAAUACUACCCCAUUCAAAAUGUAAGUAAAAAUGGAGUGAACAUUUUUGUGAUUCUUAUAUAGAAUUAUUUAACAAUAUGUUUUAUUAAAGUAAUUACAAACUCUAUGGGAGCUUUUGAUUUUGACGUGAAUGAUGCUGUUGACCAUACUACAUACAUAUAUAU